UCAGCAAGAGCUUGGUUUGGGUAACUUUUGAACCUGAAACUACUUCUUAGAACUGCUCCUUCUUCUCAGUUUUACUGCACAUAAACACGCCUUCUAUCAUAUUGUUUAUCCAUGCAUGGAGCAAGAAAUUAAUCUGACUACACCAUUCUGGACCUCUUGACAUUUAGAGGGAGUUGGGAUUUAAACAGACCAUAGAAUGAAUUGCAGUAUUCAAGAUGUGAAGUGAUUAAAAUGUGAACAAGGACUUCAGCAGAAGCAAGGUCAAGAAAUUCAAAACUCCUCUUGGUGUCAAAGAAGCCAGCACAACUCUUAUUCCCAGUGUCUGAUACCAGGGAGAAAAAAGACUUCCAGGGAAUAAUGUGGUGUUUCCAGAUUUUCUACUGAGCCCCUCAUGGAGGAGGAGGUGGCAGAAAUCACAGACUACCAAAAACUGACACCAUCUCCACCUCUACCUCAUGUGUUUUCAUCUCCUGUUCAGAAGGUGUUUUAGGUAGCUGUGAGCAGAAGAGCAGUCCUACUGAUGUCGUCAAAGUUAGACAUCUCUUGAAACAGAGCACAUCAGAUUCAUGCAUGUUUGAAGUUUCUUUGAAACUUUAUUCACAAAUUUACUAUGGUAAACGUCUGGGUUUCUAAAGAAUAAAGUAUAAAUAAAUAACUAUGCAAAUACAAUUCAGUAAAUAAAUUGACUUUAUUGAUGUAAACAGCCAUUAUGAAGGUUAAGAUACAUGGGCUUGCAAAAUGAAGACAAAGCCAAAAAAAGACAGUUCAUUCUUGGUAAUACAAUUAAAUAUGUCUACUUAUUCAUUGUUCAUCAACCAAUAUUUUUAUAGCAAAUGAGGCAUAAAGAAAUUGUGCACAUGAGCAGGUCUGGAAAAAAAAUCAAAAGAAUCCCUCACUUGAUGUGACAUUGUGAAAUACUGUAGGUUUUUGGGCUCUCUGUGUAUAUUUAUCUGAUUACUGUUUGUAUUACAAAGCAUCAAAGAAUAAGAGGUUGAUAUGCACAGCAGAGGUAGCUUUUCUGAGAUGUUUUACCUCUUGAUGCACAGGCAAUCUAAAUAUUAAUAUUCAUCGUGUUCUAAUUUCCUUAUUCCUAUGCCAAGCUCAGAAACACUUAGAAUUAAGCCUCUUCUGUUUUUCUGCUGUUCCGUGUGGUUUUGUCUGAUUUCACUUCAGCUUGUAUAGUCCCACCAAAACAAGCAGCUAUGCAAAAUUGCUUUCCAGCUUGUGAUGUGUGGAGGAAAUAAAUUCCUGAUGUGUUGCUGGUAAGUAAUGAUGUCUGCAUGUCCAUUUUAAGA